rnacentral:lncRNA from 1 species
GUGAAAGUUCAGCAGAAGGACAAACCCUGUUUGCAGGGAAACCGAAAACCCGCCAGCCGAGGGGGCUUUACCCCUGCAUCUAAGAAUCAGGAGAGUGUAACUCAAAUGGGCUUUUCCCCCCUUCCUCAUGAGAGGCACUGCAGGAAUGCGUAGUUAGGUCCACUUUGGGAAAAAGUGCCUGCUUCAGGAACAGUGUUCCAGCCGUGGUUCCUCCUAGGAAAGCACCCGGGGGCAUGUCAAUCAGUUGUUGAACAUAAAUUACCUGCUCUCCCACAGAUCAGUCACAUGCAAAAAGCUUUUCCAAUGCUUUGAAAAGAAAUUUAUAGAGAUAUCUUACGAGCAAGAGUGGAAGAGAUCCAUCUCACAUGCAAAUUCUGUUGGUAUUUUAGCAGUAUCCUAGGAUACUAUGCAGAGAAAGGUUGUGUGGCCCUGGAUGGCUCAAUGGAAAGAAAGCCAUGACUGAUUAUUGAUGUCUGCUACAG